GACGAACGCUGGCGGCGUGCUUAACACAUGCAAGUCGAACGGAAAGGCCCUUUUGUUGUGGGGUGCUCGAGUGGCGAACGGGUGAGUCACACGUGAGUAACCUGCCCUUGACUUUGGGAUAUCUUCAAGAAACUGGGGCUAAUACCGGAUAGGAGCGCCUCCUGCAGGGUGGGGGUUGGCAAGUUUCGGCGGGUGGGGAUGGCCUCGCGGCUUAUCAGCUGGUUGGUGGGGUAGUGGCUUACCAGGGCAUUGACGGGUAGCCGGCCUGAGGGGGGGACCGGCAACAUUGGGACUGGGAAAGGGCCAGGCCGCCUACGGAGGGAAGCAGUGGGGAGAAUUGACCAUUGGGGGGAGGCCGGUUGCAGAAACGCGGCGGGGGGGAGAACGGCCUCCGGGUGGUAAACGGCUUCAGCAUGUGACGAAGCGUGAGUGACGGUACCUGGUGAAGAAGCACCGGCUAACUACGUG
rnacentral:rRNA from 1 species